rnacentral:rRNA from 1 species
UACGUAGGGGGCAAGCGUUAUCCGGAUUUACUGGGUGUAAAGGGGGCGCAGACGGCGAUGCAAGCCAGGAGUGAAAGCCCGGGGCCCAACCCCGGGACUGCUCUUGGAACUGCGUGGCUGGAGCGCAGGAGGGGCAGGCGGAAUUCCUGGUGUAGCGGUGAAAUGCGUAGAUAUCAGGAGGAACACCGGUGGCGAAAGCGGCUCUCUGGCCUGUAACUGACACUGAGGCUCGAAAGCGUGGGGAGCAAACAGG